UAUUAAUAUUUCAAUUUUCACUAUUUCAGCAAUCAUGUUUUAAAAGAAUUUCAUACGUCUGAAAAUUGAAAUAUAUCUUGGGCAUUCUCAUUUCAUAGACCACGGGUCUACGAAUAGACCGCGGGUCUACGAAAAGAAACAAGACGCUGUUCAAAUCAAAAUGCUAAAAUAACUAUUUAAACAACAAUUAUACCACCAUUCAAUACUUCGUUGCUAAAAAAAAACACGAUUAAAUCAAAACACCAAAUUCGGAAAAAAAUAAAUCCUACAUCACUACCAAUCGAUUAGCAAAAAGAAAAACCAUUUAAAUGGAUCUAGAAAUGAUCGAAACUCGAUUUUAACUAACCUUGCAAAGCAACAACGCCCCCUUAGCAGUUGCAGACGAAGAACGUACGAAAAUGGCGUUUUUGGGAGAAGUUGUUUGAAAGCAGAAGUUGGGAAUUGAAGAGGAGAGAGAGGGUUUUUUUUGGAUAUUGCAAUGAGUGGAGGGGGUUAGGUGUAUUAUAUUAAAUUUGUAAAGUUGUAUAAAUGAUGAAUUGGUCCCUUGGCCCACGUGUGGACCCCACUUUUUCCACUUUUUACACCCUAAACUUAAAAAAUAAAUCAAAAAGAAAUUAAGUGGGUAUUUGACAAAAUAGUUUUGCAAAAGUUCUUCUUUGCCAAUUAUUAAAUCAAAAUGCUAAAAUAACUAUUUAAACAACAAUUAUACCACCAUUCAAUACUUCGUUGCUAAAAAAAAACACGAUUAAAUCAAAACACCAAAUUCGGAAAAAAAUAAAUCCUACAUCACUACCAAUCGAUUAGCAAAAAGAAAAACCAUUUAAAUGGAUCUAGAAAUGAUCGAAACUCGAUUUUAACUAACCUUGCAAAGCAACAACGCCCCCUUAGCAGUUGCAGACGAAGAACGUACGAAAAUGGCGUUUUUGGGAGAAGUUGUUUGAAAGCAAGAGUUGAAAAUUGAAGAGGAGAGAGAGAGUUUUUUUUUUAAAUAUUGGAAUAAGUGGAGGGGGUUAGGUGUAUUAUAUUAAAUUUGUAAAGUUGUAUAAAUGAUGAAUUGGUCCCUUGGCCCACGUGUGGACCCCACUUUUUCCACUUUUUACACCCUAAACUUAAAAAAUAAAUCAAAAAGAAAUUAAGUGAGUAUUUGGCAAAAUAGUUUUGCAAAAUUUCCUUUUUGUCAAUUAUUCUCCUGAUAAUGCCUAGUUUAGUGUAGCACCUGAUUUCCGCCGACUCAAUCUUGACAUUCACUAACAGUUAAUUAACAUACUUUCAUCGAGAUGAAAUUCUGAGUCAUCCACCAAAACACCAAAAUGCAGUACUCUAACAUACUAGUACAAAAUAAAUAGUGAUUUAGCGGUCAAAAGAAAAUUCAGAGUCAUUCUAAGUAAAUUUGAAUAAUAAUUAUUCUCCUUUUUUUAAUUUAAUUUUUUAAAAUACCUAUUUUAUAUCUAUCUAUCUAUAUAUUAUUUUUGACCAACGUGAAUGUGUUCGAUCAAGGGAAUUGUCCAACUAGUCCCGAUUUUUAUAUAUGUGGCAUCGUUCAAAUUUCAAUAGCCAAACAGAUCCUUAAAAGUAGUAUAAAAGUAUAUAAACUAUUCAUGCAUGCAUCAAGCCAUCAAUUAAUUUCAUUCUACAUCAUCAUGGAUAAAUAGAUUAUUGGCCAAGUAUUGUUUUUUUGUUCAGUAAUUUUUAAACUAAAUUGAUGGAGUAAUAUUUUCUUCUGAUUCGGUUUAUGUGGCACGUUCUAAUUUUGAAAGUUAAGUUAUUUAAUUUUGAUCAUGCAUUUGAUCAAGGUCUCUUUAAGUUUUUUUUUUUUGUUAAAAAAAAUAUUUAAAAUUACAUAAAAAAGAAAACUAUAAAUCACUAUAAUUAAUAGAUCAAAAUUUUAUAUCUCCUUUUAUGAAAUUAGUAUAUUUUUCUCAUUCUUAUUUUAUAUAUAGUUUUGAUCAGACUUUCUUAUAAGCAAACAAUGACUUUUGUCCUACUUAAAGUUGAGGAUUGGGUACUUACGUGUUUCUUGGGUUGUGCGCAAAAUAUUCAUGAGGAUUGUAUUUGACCAUCACAAUGGAUAACUUUCACCUUAUUACCUUAAAUUUUUAUUUGAAAUUUCAAAUUCACAAAUUCACACACACAUAUAUAUAUAUAUAUAU
rnacentral:lncRNA from 1 species